rnacentral:sRNA from 1 species
UACGUGCUAACAUCCAGAAGGAGCAGG